AACUAACGCUGGCGGCGUGUCUUAGACAUGCAAGUCGAACGCCCCGCCUUUGGCGGGGAGUGGCGAACGGGUGAGUAAUGCGCAGAUAACCUGCCCUUAGGUGGGGGAUAACCCCGAGAAAUCGGGGCUAAUCCCGCAAGUCCCACUUUGGCAUAAGUCAAAGGGGGUAAACCCCUCGGGGGCCUGAGGAGGGGUCUGCGUCCUAUCAGGUAGUUGGUAGGGUAAUGGCCUACCGAGCCUAUGACGGGUAGCCGGCCUGAGAGGGUGACCGGCCACAUGGGGACUGAGAUACGGCCCUGACUCCUACGGGAGGCAGCAGUCUAGAAAUUUGGGCAAUGGGCGAAAGCCUGACCCAGCGACGCCGCGUGAGGGAUGAAGGCCUUCGGGUUGUAAACCUCUUUCAGAGGAGAAGAACCCCGCAUUUGCGGGGAGACGGUAUCCUCAGAAGAAGCUCCGGCUAACUCCGUGCCAGCAGCCGCGGUAAUACGGAGGGAGCAAGCGUUGUUCGGAAUUACUGGGUGUAAAGGGGGCGCAGGUGUCCCACUAAGUUUCGGGUAAAAUCCUUGGGCUCAACUCAAGAAUUGCGCGGAAUACUGGUGGGAUUGAGCAUAGGAGAGGAGGGCGGAACUCCCAGUGUAGCGGUGGAAUGCGUAGAUAUUGGGGGGAACACCAGUGGCGAAGGCGGCCCUCUGGACUAUUGCUGACACUCAUGCCCGAAAGCCAGGGGAGCAAACAGGAUUAGAUACCCUGGUAGUCCUGGCCCUAAACGAUGUGAGCUAGGUGUCCCGGAAUUUAUUCUGGGGUGCCGCAGCUAACGCAAUAAGCUCACCACCUGGGGAGACGGUCGCAAGGCU
rnacentral:rRNA from 1 species